UGGGGAAUAUUGCACAAUGGGCGAAAGCCUGAUGCAGCGACGCCGCGUGAGGGAUGACGGCCUUCGGGUUGUAAACCUCUUUCAGUAGGGACGAAGCGCAAGUGCCGGUACCUGCAGAAGAAGCACCGGCUAACUACGUGCCAGCAGCCGCGGUAAUACGUAGGGUGCGAGCGUUGUCCGGAAUUACUUGGCGUAAAGAGCUCGUAGGCGGUUUGUCACGUCGUCUGUGAAAUCCUAGGGCUUAACCCUGGACGUGCAGGCGAUACGGGCUGACUUGAGUACUACAGGGGAGACUGGAAUUUCUGGUGUAGCGGUGGAAUGCACAGAUAUCAGGAAGAACACCGAUGGCGAAGGCAGGUCUCUGGGUAGUAACUGACGCUGAGGAGCGAAAGCAUGGGGAGCGAACAGG
rnacentral:rRNA from 1 species